rnacentral:misc_RNA from 1 species
UCCGAGUUGACCCCGGCAGUCUCCUGCGAGUCCCCGCCAUUACGCGCUGGCAACACAGGACAAGGGUUGCGCUCGUUGCGGGACUUAACCCAACAUCUCACGACAUGAGCUGACGACAGCCAUGCACCACCUGUACACCAGCAAAAGGGCCCCCAUCUCUGGAGGUUUCCGGUGUAUGUCAAACCCAGGUAAGGUUCUUCGCGUUGCAUCGAAUUAAUCCGCAUGCUCCGCCGCUUGUGCGGGCCCCCGUCAAUUCCUUUGAGUUUCAGUCUUGCGACCGUACUCCCCAGGCGGCGAACUUAACGCGUUAGCUUCGACACUGAGCUCCAAGUUGCGCCCAACGUCCAGUUCGCAUCGUUUAGGGCGUGGACUAC